AGUGAACGCUGGCGGCAUGCCUAACACAUGCAAGUCGAACGGAAACACGGUAAGCGUUUGCUCUUAAGGGUGGCGGGUGGCGGACGGGUGAGGAAUACGUCGGCAUCUUAUUUUUCGUGGAGGAUAACGUGGGGUAACAUCCGCUAAUACCUAAUAUUACCAACGGGUGACAUCACUGGAUCUUCAGGCCUUGCGCGUCUGUAUGAGCCGAUGUCGGAUUAGCUAGUUGGUGGGGUAAAGGCCCACCAAGGCGACGAUCCGUAGCUGGUCUGAGAGGAUGAUCAGCCACACUGGAACUGAGACACGGUCCAGACUCCUACGGGAGGCAGCAGUGGGGAAUAUUGGACAAUGGGCGCAAGCCUGAUCCAGCAAUGCCGCGUGAGUGAAGAAGGCCUUCGGGUUGUAAAGCGCUUUUGUUGGGAAAGAAAAGGAGCGGGUUAAUACCUGGCGGUGCUGACGGUACCCAAAGAAUAAGCACCGGCUAACUACGUG
rnacentral:rRNA from 1 species